AGAGUUUUGCUUUUGAAGGGUUUGAUCAAGGCAGAUGUCCCUCUAUCCACAGCCUUGAAUAGUAGUAAAAAGAACUUCUUGAAAAGGUUUGUGAUCAAGUAUCAGGAUCAGGUGCCUCAAUUAUUGGAUAUCUUUCAAGGAAAAAUGGAGCUUAAAGAACUUGGAUUUGGUUUUGAUGAUAAAUCUGUAAUUCUGGAUUAGGA
rnacentral:misc_RNA from 1 species